rnacentral:rRNA from 1 species
UGGGGAAUUGUUCGCAAUGGGCGCAAGCCUGACGACGCAACGCCGCGUGGAGGAUGAAGACUUUCGGGUCGUAAACUCCUUUCGACCGAGAUGAAUUUCCGCCGACCCAACACGUCGGUGGAGUGACAGUAUCGAGGGAAGAAGCCCCGGCUAACUCCGUGCCAGCAGCCGCGGUAAUACGGGGGGGGCAAGCGUUGUUCGGAAUUACUGGGCGUAAAGGGUUCGUAGGUGGCCAACUAAGUCAGACGUGAAAUCCCUCAGCUUAACUGGGGAACUGCGUCUGAUACUGAUUGGCUUGAGUGCAGGAGAGGAACGCGGAAUUCCAGGUGUAGCGGUGAAAUGCGUAGAUAUCUGGAGGAACACCGGUGGCGAAGGCGGCGUUCUGGACUGCAACUGACACUGAGGAACGAAAGCCAGGGGAGCAAACGGGAUUAGAUACCCCGGUAGUCCUGGCCCUAAACGAUGAAUGCUUGGUGUGGCGGGUAUCGAUCCCUGCCGUGCCGAAGUUAACGCGAUAAG